AAAAAAAUAUUUAAGCCUAAUGGCCUCUAAGUCGCAAAAGUGAAAUCCAGAAAGGAGGUUUCCUCUCGCAAAAGAGAACAUCACUUAAGCAAAGGGGCACUCGCUUAAGAGAAUCCCACGUUUCAUUAGAGGUUGCAAUAGCGCCCAAAUGUCGCUUAAGUGAAGCUAAGGAGUUCAAAAGGCAGUGCACAGAAUCCAAACCAACACAAAACUUAAAAUAAAUGUCCAAUUUCUUCCUCUCCUCCUCAAAUGUCUAAAAUUGUUCUAAACUCUUGAUCUUUAUUGUGCAAACAAAAUCUGAUUUUCACAAAGUAAAGAAUGUCACACGAACUCAAUUUUGAGGAGGAUGUGGUGGUUGAAUAUGAUAAAUAUCAAUUUGUCUCUCUCCGAGCACAAAAGAUCUAUUAUGUUGAUUUGAUGAAGAAGAAGCUACUUUCGGAGAGAGGCAUAUCGCUUGACAAAGUUGAGGAAAUUCUUCCGACUUUCCACCAAAGGCUGAUGUCAUGCAGUUGGAUAUGCUUGUUGUUGAACCUUGUAGGGAAAGUGAGCGAUGUGUGAGGGAUUUUUUAUGCCAAUCGCAAGGAGACUGGAAUGAGAUCAAGGUUGAUCACCAUCCAGGGUAAGGUUGUCAACUAUGGGCUUGAGGAAAUCAAUCAAAUAUAUGGGUUACUUAACCAUGAUAUCAAGUCCGUCACAAAUAAGGAUUGUGUGUCGGGUGUUUUGUUAGCUUCAAAGCUAUGUCCAAGCACAAAAGUUUCCAUGGGCUGUCACCAAUACCAGAAUUUUAGUCUCAAACUUGACCGCAGAAGCAAGGACAUGGAUGUCAAUUGUAUGAAACUGUAUUUCCCCAAGUGGGAACAUUAGCAACAUUCCUUAGUUGCGAGCACAAAUAGUGGCUUGGGUACUUAAUGAUGUCCCGAUAAAUAUAGGCCAUUUCAUUGUUAAUGAGUUCCGAGAAUUCAAAAUUCAUGACAGCCUGUCUCUUGUUGUUCCAUCUCUGGUCACAGAGCUUUGUAAAUGGGCUGAGGAGGAUGUACUUCCAGGUGACACUUAGAUGGAGCCCAAAAAUCCUAUCUUUCCUCUUAAGAUGCGUGGUGAGGGCACGAUGGUAAAAACCAAGACGAGAAAGGUUAACUCCUCUAAGUCUGUGCAUGUUGAGGAUGGUACUCCUACACCUCCAAUUUUGGGCCCUUUUGAGUCGUUGGCAAGUGAGUUGAGGAUUGUGAAGGAGAUAGUGUCAAGCCUGCCUCAAGGGCGCGUGACUAUUACAAAAGGGCCCUUUAGCGGCAAUAAAAUAUGGCUUUAGCGGCAAUAACAUUUGCCACAAUACUCUAUACCGGCCAAUGAACUUUAGCCGGCAAUGUUGGGGUCGGCAAAGGCUUUGCGGCCAUUGUGGGAAAUGCUGGUAAAGGAUAGUGUGAAUUGCCGCUACAAACCAUUAGCUUUUACGGCCAUUGAAUGCGGCAAUUAUGUUGGCUGCUAAAGUGAAGAAACAUAAAUGUACAACCUACUGGUCUUCUAUGUUCAUGUUGCCAAAACAAGUCUUGAAGGGAAUAACAGAAGUAUGUAGAAACUUCAUGGUCUGGAAAAGUGAAUACAAUUAGAGCUCCAUUAGUGGCAUGGGACUUGGUGUGUCGGACCAAAAAAGGAGGACUGGAAUCACUAAAUAUGUGAUAUGGAACAAGGCUGCGGUAGCAAAUUACGUGUGGAACAUUGCUCAAAAAGCUUAUAAUCUAUGGGUGCGAUGGGUGGAUCAUGUCUACAUAAAGGGCACGGACUGGUGGCAAUAUGUGUCUUCAGAAAUCCUGUCUGUAGACACAUCUUCUCGUUUUGAACUAGUUCACCUUUGGCCAAGAGUAAUGCUCAAGAUUAUGCAGAAAACUCCCAGUCGACGACAUCAUCUUUUAGCAUUUGUAGGCAGUCAAAUCUGUCUCUUCCAAGCAAAAAAGCCGCCCCAGUAACAUUAUUUGGUA